UACGGAGGGUGCAAGCGUUAUCCGGAUUCACUGGGUUUAAAGGGUGCGUAGGUGGGCAAGUAAGUCAGGUGGUGAAAUCUCCGGGCUUAACCCGGAAACUGCCAUUGAUACUAUUUGUCUUGAAUACUGUGGAGGUCAGCGGAAUAUGUCAUGUAGCGGUGAAAUGCUUAGAUAUGACAUAGAACACCAAUUGCGAAGGCAGCUGGCUACACAAAUAUUGACACUGAGGCACGAAAGCGUGGGGAUCAAAC
rnacentral:rRNA from 1 species